rnacentral:rRNA from 1 species
UACGAAGGGGGCUAGCGUUGCUCGGAAUCACUGGGCGUAAAGCGCACGUAGGCGGAUUGUUAAGUCAGGGGUGAAAUCCUGGAGCUCAACUCCAGAACUGCCCUUGAUACUGGCGAUCUCGAGUCCGGGAGAGGUGAGUGGAACUGCGAGUGUAGAGGUGAAAUUCGUAGAUAUUCGCAAGAACACCAGUGGCGAAGGCGGCUCACUGGCCCGGUACUGACGCUGAGGUGCGAAAGCG